rnacentral:rRNA from 1 species
GUGAACGCUGGCGGUAGGCCUCACACCUGCCAGUCGCACGGCAGCACAGUAAGAGCUUGCUCUUACGGGUGGCGAGUGGCGGACGGGUGAGGAAUACAUCGGAAUCUACUUUUUCGUGGGGGGUAACGUAGGGAAACUUACGCUAAUACCGCAUACGACCUACGGGUGAAAGCAGGGGAUCUUCGGACCUUGCGCGAUUGAAUGAGCCGAUGUCGGAUUAGCUAGUUGGCGGGGUAAAGGCCCACCAAGGCGACGAUCCGUAGCUGGUCUGAGAGGAUGAUCAGCCACACUGGAACUGAGACACGGUCCAGACUCCUACGGGAGGCAGCAGUGGGGAAUAUUGGACAAUGGGCGCAAGCCUGAUCCAGCCAUACCGCGUGGGUGAAGAAGGCCUUCGGGUUGUAAAGCCCUUUUGUUGGGAAAGAAAAGCAGCAGGUUAAUACCCCGCUGUUCUGACGGUACCCAAAGAAUAAGCACCGGCUAACUUCGUG